CAGUGAGGGUCUAGAUUAGUGGCAACGAGGAGGGGGGUCUCUGUUCUGUAAUUCUUUUAGCCAUUCUUAUCUUUUCAGCAUUAAAAAAUAUGCUAAUACUUUAAGUUAUGUGCCCCUUUAGAAUUUGCACUACACAAAUGAAACCAUUUAUCAAUUUUUUUAAAUGUCUGAUUGAAACGAAACACAGAAAAAUAUAAAUAUU
rnacentral:lncRNA from 1 species